rnacentral:rRNA from 1 species
UACGGGGGGGGCAAGCGUUGUUCGGAAUUACUGGGCGUAAAGGGCGCGUAGGCGGUCUGCUAAGUUGGAUGUGAAAACUCUGGGCUUAACCCAGAGCCUGCAUUCAAUACUGACAGGCUAGAGUUCUGGAGGGGAUAGCGGAAUUCCUGGUGUAGCGGUGAAAUGCGUAGAUAUCAGGAGGAACACCGGUGGCGAAGGCGGCUAUCUGGACAGAGUCUGACGCCGAGGCGCGAAAGCUAGGGGAGCAAACAGG